rnacentral:rRNA from 1 species
AGAGCGAACGCUGGCGGCAGGCCUAACACAUGCAAGUCGAGCGCCCGUAGCAAUACGGGAGCGGCAGACGGGAUAGUAACACGUGGGAACGCGCCCUUCGGUUCGGAAUAACUCAAGGAAACUUGAGCUAAUACCGGAUACGCCCUUACGGGGAAAGAUUUAUUGCCGAAGGAACGGCCCGCGUCCGAUUAGCUAGUUGGUGAGGUAAUGGCUCACCAAGGCGACGAUCGGUAGCUGGUCUGAGAGGAUGACCAGCAUCACUGGGACUGAGACACGGCCCAGACUCCUACGGGAGGCAGCAGUGGGGAAUAUUGGACAAUGGGCGCAAGCCUGAUCCAGCCAUGCCGCGUGGAUGAUGAAGGCCUUAGGGUUGUAAAGUCCUUUUAACGGGGAAGAUAAUGACGGUACCCGUAGAAUAAGCCCCGGCUAACUUCGCGCCAGCAGCCGC